rnacentral:lncRNA from 1 species
GCGCUUCUCUUGAAAAGAAAAAAAAAAUUUUGUUUUAAAGUAAAUAUCCAAAAAGUAAAAGGUAACAAAGGGGCCAAAAAAAAAAAAAAAAAAAAAAAAACUCACAUGCGGCAAGCGGUAACCGUGAGAGCCGAAUGAAGUUGUAUGUAUAGCCACUUCAGUCGGGCUCGACGGGGCUUUGGAUAAGGAUACGGCGGUGCACCAAGAAAGUCGAAGUAGAAGACCUGAAUAAAUUCAUCAGCUGUCAGCUGGCUAAGACUUAUAAGAAUAGAACGUUAAAAUGAAACAAAACUGAAAAUUAAGGAAACGAAACGAUGCAUAGAGCUUCACUUGCCUGCUCUUCAAAUCCGGUGUUUCUAUCACCAAGCUCUCCUCGUCUUCCGCUGUCGCUUCCACUUCAACAUCAAUUACCUCGCUCGCUUCCAGCUUCCUUCGGUGUGCAAUUGCCCUCAACUUCUCCCCAAAGGCAAAAAAAAAAAAAAAAAAAAAAAAAUCCUCACAUGCGGCAAGCAGGUAACCGUGAGAGCCGAAUGAAGUUGUAUGUAUAGCCACUUCAGUCGGGCUCGACGGGGCUUUGGAUAAGGAUACGGCGGUGCACCAAGAAAGUCGAAGUAGAAGACCUGAAUAAAUUCAUCAGCUGUCAGCUGGCUAAGACUUAUAAGAAUAGAACGUUAAAAUGAAACAAAACUGAAAAUUAAGGAAACGAAACGAUGCAUAGAGCUUCACUUGCCUGCUCUUCAAAUCCGGUGUUUCUAUCACCAAGCUCUCCUCGUCUUCCGCUGUCGCUUCCACUUCAACAUCAAUUACCUCGCUCGCUUCCAGCUUCCUUCGGUGUGCAAUUGCCCUCAACUUCUCCCCAAAUUUACCGCCAUGCCGUUUCUCUUCUUCACAGCUCUGGUAAUCCCACUUAUCUGAAUCUUAGAAUUUCUUUUCUCGAAUUUAGAUUUACUGACGAUGAUAAAGCUUAUUUGUUGUUGUUGUUGUUCUUUUUUUUUUUUUAAAUCCCAACUAUGCGGCACUGUGUUGUAGUGAAAUUGUUGUGCAG